rnacentral:misc_RNA from 1 species
GAGAUGGUGGCUGUGGGGCUGGGGCCGCUGAGGGUGACGAAGGCGGAAGAGCCAGCGUCGAAGCACGCGUUGACGACCGAGAGGGCGUGGCUGAGCAGAGCUUCUGCUGGGACGCCGAGGGUUGUUAAGCCUCGUGUGAUCGUGUCCAGCUCCGCGGCGGUGGGCACGGACGGGGAUGAGACGGCAAAAGUCAUCGCGUCGAGCGCGUCAGGAGAGGGGGCUUGGUUGAGUGCCAUGGUGGAGAAUGUCUUGAAAUUUCGAGAAGAGUUCCAAACUUAAGCCUCUAGGGUGGGCGGCGAGGACGAGCUCGGGGCGAAGGUUGCACUGGCCCUGGAUGAUUGUGGAGUGGCCCGUGAUGAUGAUGGUGCAGCCGGGUUUAGGCGUGAGACUUACCACAGCAAGGGCAGUGAGUAGUAGAACGGCCGCGGCGAGAUAGUAAUAGGAUGAGUCCCGAGAGGGUAAGCACUGUGAGGAAAGCGAGUGGGAGGGGGUCCCUGGACUUGGAAUGGUUGGGGCUGAAGUAGCUGAUAGAUUUAGUUCCGUCGACGUACCGGCCUCCAUGCGGGAGUGCAU